GGUGGGCUCAGAGUCCAUGGAUGUGCUGACUGCAACAGUGCUCUCCCGAAACUGUCAUGGUCACGGGCCUGUUGGGUGAUGGCACAGUGGGACAUGAAGGUAUGAACGGACAACCAGGUUGUGGCUCUGUAGAUGUCCUGGAUUGGUACCUGUGCGAGGAACGCUUCUGCCAAAGCCUGGGCUCUUUUGGAAUGAGUGGUCACAAUGGCCAGAGGCGGAAGGUUUGCCUGCUCAUAGCAAGCUCAGAUACAAGUGGUUAUCCAGGACUAGAUUCUUUGGGUCGACAUGGGUACCCUCUCAUCCUUUCCACUAUUGCUACAAAGAGCUGCUCGGACUUGCGGAAGGUUUUAGUUCUCUCAAUAUAAAAAGUGAGGGCAUAUGAAGCUGACAUUCCUCAGAGGUUUUAUGAGGCUUUGGGAAGAAGGCAGUAGAAAGAUGGCCUGGUUGUUGUGGAAUUGUGGCACAAUCUUUAGUAGGAAGGCUGGAUGGGGGGGCACAGUUGGUACUGAAGUCUGGUGGUGCAUAGGCUAGGUAACAAUGAUGUGUCCUGGGUGGAGAAAAAGAUUCUCCUUUGGACUCUGAAGAGGAGUCUCUUGGAGAACAUGGUGGAACUGUACCCAUUUCUGCCUCCAUGCAGUGCUGGGGUUCCAGAGUCUGGUGAUGAGUCAGUGACCAUGAUGCCAGCAUCAUGGUAGGCUUACACCUAGAGGGAGGUGGGGAUGCCAGUGCUGGGAAGGAGCCCGAUGCUCCCUGUUCCCUUCUGCUUCCAGUUGCCUUGGCUGGUGGGUGCCCCCUUGCAGUAGUCAGGAACAGGAGAGAGAAGAGGUCCUUUGCUGCUUGGAAAGCCUCUGGUAUCGAGAGGACUGUCAGACCGCUGGCACUGCGGCAGCUUUUGGCGGUCAGCGGAGGGUUCCGCACUGGACUCAACACCCUAGGCAAUGGUGCCAUCUCUGUCUCAGGGAGGAAGAGUGGCCCAACGCAUGUCUCACUGUAAUGGCAUCUCCCUGGUUGUCCUUCCUCUGCACUGGUGAGUACCCUCUCUCAGUGCACUGCUUCCUGUGCUUCUUUCUCAGCGCUGGAGAUUGAGAAUGGUGCUAGGAAGAGCACGGUGCCAGGGGACCGCUUUGCACGGGAAUCAAAAUGCUUGGUGCUGAUUUGGAGCGGCUCAGCUCCGAUGCAGGUCUGAGGAUGGCCUUCAGCCGAAUGCCCCUGUCUUUUUAGGUCUGAAGUCCCUGCAAAUCUGGUAGUUGUCCUCUACAUGGGUUUUCCCCACACACUUAAAGCUUGCAGGUCACUCACUGGCAUAAGUUUACUGCAGAAGGCACAUGUCUUGAAACAUGGGAAUCAGACCAUGCCCAGCCCCUGGGGUGAAGAGUCCCUAGACAACAGGGGCUAAUUAUUCACACUACUAUAUAUACACUAACGCUAUGUAUAAGAACUAUGUACAUUAACUAAAAUAAAUAUGAACAGAGGAGAGUCCAAACAACUGGGGAAGAUGCCUUGCCACAGCAAGAAGGAUCGUUCCAGCAACCAUCACGGACGGUAAGAAGGAAUUGAGAGGGUGCCAGGCCAGAGGCACCCCCUUAUACCUGCACAUAUGUGUAUGAUUCCAGAAGGCAGAAGAGACAACCCCAAGAAAUACCACUAAGGGAAAAAUCUCUGGCAACAGUACAUGCAGCACGCACACACCUAGCAUGGAAUGGACAUGAGCAAACACUUGAAGAAGAACCUCGCCUCUGUGAUGGUUGGGAACCUUUUCUAUUUUCCAGAGUGAAUUUGUUCUUGGCCAAUUUGUACUAUUCGUUCUCAUGCUAACAUUGUCCUACAGGUUGCAUCCAGAGACUGCUAAUUUCCCCCAUUUACUUAGCCUGAGGUUUCAGGAGCAGGUGUAGCAAAGAAGUGUGGCCUCCCUCAGUGAUGAGAGCGAGGGAGAGCCACACCUACCUACAUGUUUAUACAUAAAGAACAUGGGUAAGGCCCACCAUCUGAUGGAAAGGGGGACUGCAUUCAUUGUUGACCCACCACCAGCAGAUGCAGCCCUGGAUCUCGACAAGCUGGUGAAAUGGUGGGCCGAGAGUCAACAACAGCAGCAAGCUGCCCAGCUCCAGCAGCAGCAGCAACUGCUACAAAUCCCGAGAGCCCAGCAGCAGCAGCUCAUAUGGAAGCAGGGGGCCCAGCAGCAGUAGCAGCAGGGGCAAUAUGCUCAGCAACUGGCCACUUUACUGCCCAGCCGCUCCAGUCCCACCACUGGAGGCCCGGUAGUGCUAGCGACCCCUUCGAUGCCACUCUGCCUCACAAAAGUAGGAUCUGAGGACGAUCCAGAAUCGUUCUUAGUUAUGUUUGAGCAUGUCGCCUUGGCCGAAGGCUGGGAUCCGACUCAGUGGUCCACCCUGCUGGUCCCCUAUCUAACGGGGGUGUCCCAUGCCAUGUAUUGCGCCCUCUCUGACGAGGAGACACGUGAUUAUCAGGCUGUAAAGGCAGCAGUCCUAGACACAUUGGACAUUACCCCCAAAACCUUCCAAUGCUGGUUUCGAGGAAAAACCUACCCAUCAGGGGCUCGAAUACGAAUUGCGGCCCAGGAACUGAGAGACGCAUGCUGGUGGUGUCUGCAACUGGAGUGACGCUCUGCCACAGCGGUAACUGAACAGAACGUUACAGAGCAGUUCCUACAUAUCCUUCCCUCUCGUGGGAGGACAUGGGUAAUGCGGCAUCACCUCACCACCUUGAGUGCAACGGUACGCCUGAUGGAAGAUUUCCUGGCCACGGAGAGUGCAACCCAGGGCUGCCUUCCCCCACAGAUGCGUUGUUGUGGUUGGGGGAAGAGGACCUGACCAGCCCCGGAGACCAGGAGCUGGGUUUGGGGGGGGAGGGAGUGUAUAGCAAAGGGGCGUGGCCUCCCUCAGAGACUGACAGCGAGGUACAGCCAGAUGCCCCCUGGUGGGUGGAACCCAGAAGGCCUAGGCCACCAUGCCAGAAGCAGAACAGGAAGUAUAAGAGGCGGGCUGUGCAGCUGAAUUGAGGAGGAACCGCCGAGGGAGACAGAUGCUUCCAGCCUGCUGCUGGAGCUGGAACCCACAGAAGACUUCGGCUGUCUCAAGGAGCCUGCCCAGGUACCAGGACUGCCUGACAUGCCCAACACUGAAGAGUUGCUGGGACUGCCACUUGCAGUGUACCCCAGGGAAACAGAGGGUGAUCCUUGGAUGCAGGUACACCCAAAGGGGAGUAUAGGAAGCAGCCCAGGGGAACCAGACUACCAUCAGUCUGUGGAGCUGCCGGAGACAUGGUCAGCGUGUUAUGGGUGGAUUCUCCACUGACCCAGUGGCAGACCACUCUGCCGCUGUUAGGGCCCUGGGCUGGGACAUGGUGGAGUUGGGUGGGCCCACGUCCUCCCUGUCACCCCACCCCUGGGGUGGCAGUACUCCCCCUCCUUAGGCUAGGAGGCCGGCGCUCCGCAGAGUGCCAUAGACUGUAGUUGGUGCUCAUCCCUUGCCUGAUCCCCAUAGAGUGUGUUGGGUGCUCAACCCCCUGCCGGCGCCCUAGACUGCUUGCUGGAUGCUCACCCCCCUACUGGGGCCAUAGACUGCUUGCUGGGGCCCCCACCCUGGCUGAGGGCCUGGGCCCCCUGAACCACUCGCAGCUACUCUGCCUAAGGGUUAAGCCUUCGACUGUGUGGGUGCCCCGCCCUGGUGGAGGGCCUUGGCCCCUGAACUAUUCACUGCCCUACCCUGCCUACAGGUGUGGGGGAGGGGGGCGGAGACUGCUAAUUUCCCCAUUUACUUAGCUUGUUGUUUCAGAAGUGGGUGUAGCAAAGGGGCGUGGCCUCCCUAAAAGAAGACAGUGAGGGAGAGCCACACUCAUCUACACGUUUACAGUUGGUAUACUGCUUUUUUUCAUCACAGACUGAAAAUCUCUUGUUUUACAGGAGGGAAAUUGGUGCUCAUUCACAGAACAAUGCAACAAAUUGUUAAAUGGAGGAUUGCAACAAUCUGCUUCAAAUCUAUCGCAUAAAUGAAGGGAAGUACAUGUGAAAUCUGUGAACAACCUACAUCCUUCAAAAGAGGCUAGCACAAAAAUUGGUUUAAAAAACCCCUUUAAACCCUCUGAAGCUCAAAGAUGAUCAGCUUUAACCAGACUUAAUUGUGAGGUGUAUUGCAUGGAAGAGCCUCAGUCCAUAGAGAGAGCGUGGGGAAGAGAUGGCAAAAUCAUAACAAACUAUAAGAACCAUGAAUCCUGGAUUUAUGCUAAUAUGGAGGUAAGGUAGAAAAAAUUUCUUGUGUGCUUUGUGAGGUACUUCCCUUUCCAGAAGACAAGCUACAGUCUGCCUGCACCCCCUCCAGUCCGGCUCACCGGUUUGUGAUAUUCCCUGGUCUUUGAUGGCCAUCCCUACAUGAAGUGGGUGCCAGUAGCAAUGUGCAAAUAGGACUACAGACAGAGAAUGAAUGAUGGCUGUAUAUGCAUGUGGUCUUGUGUCCCUCGCAGAACAGGGCUGAAGCCCAGUUUUGUUGUUCUGCCUUGGGUUACACAUGAAGAUAGUUAAUGCACCCAGGAAAUCUAUGUGUAGGCCAGCAACCUGUUUAGUGGACAUAAUUAAAUUGCACUUUUCAAGACCUGGUUUGUGAUGAUCCCAGGCUGCUUGAUAACAGGAUCCUUUCUUCCUGCUCAAAGGGUAUAACAUCAGUGGUACCAACCAGUUAUGACAGAUACCUUUUCCAUGACCAGCUUUCAGGUUUAACCUGCCAUUCUCCACUUCUUUCUCACUAUUGUAGGAAUGGGAAGCUACUUGGGUAACUGCUAUAACUAUCACAAUAUCCUCAUGCUAGACUGAUACCACCUAUCAGGACCCCACUUAUGGAAAAUAAAUUAUAUAAACAUAGCCACAGAUAACACAUACAAUUUAAAAGGGCAAGAAUAGACAUUCAUGCUGGCUUUUGCUAUACUGUGCAUCUGUCCAUUCAGACCUACUCAAAUUUGGCCAAUGGAUAAAUAGCAAUAUAUUUUUCACCAUUGCCCUAAAAUAUAUAUGUUUGGAAUUUUUUUUCAAACUUUUGUUCAAACAUUUCCUUCAUGUUGAGAAAGGGAAAUGAUUAUUACUUGUUCUAUUGCAGUAUCACCCAAAGGACUUAAUGAAAAUGAGGUCCCCAUUGAGAUAGGUGCUGUACUAACAGAAUAAAAAGAUAGCUCCUGCCCCACAAAUCUUCUUUUACUAUUAUAGAUUCCGUUUCUCAGUGAGCUGAAUGUCCAGCAAAGAAGCAGAACGAAGAGUGGGAAUCAAGAUGGGACUAUUGUAAAUAAGUAGCUGUGAUCCACUGAAAAGAAUCAUGAGGUACCCAGUCUUCGCUACUGGCAGAAAGGAGGGACUUCCCUUAGGAUGAGAUUUCAUUUGCUGGAUUCAGUAGGUUGGCUGAGUGAGCCCAUUGUUAACACCCAUACUGCAGGGACAAGGGUCUUAUCAGUUGUGAGCAGGCACCAAGCCAUCCUGACAGAUGGCUCUAGCUAUGGGCAGACCAUAUGUGUUGUAUCCAAUAUGUUUGUUGAAGUAAUUAUUCCCACUUAGGACAAUUCUGCCUGCCUUGACUUUCUUCACCUUUGGCAUUACUAAUUAAAUUCCAUUAAUUUUAAAACCUACAAAUUACUGUGUUUUCUUCAUCCACCUUAAUAUUUUUCCCACCACAUAAAUCUGAUGUAUAACUGACUGACAAUAGUAUCAUCACCUCCUCCUCCAUUGGGAGGAAUCUUGUGGAACGAGGUGUGAAAUAACAACAAACCAACGGCAAAAAAAAAAAAAAAGACAAAAACC